UACAGAGGUCCCAAGCGUUGUUCGGAUUCACUGGGCGUAAAGGGUGCGUAGGUGGUCGGGUAAGUCUGAUGUGAAAUCUCUGAGCUCAACUCAGAAACUGCAUUGGAUACUAUUCGGCUAGAGGAGUGGAGGGGGGACUGGAAUACUUGGUGUAGCAGUGAAAUGCGUAGAUAUCAAGUGGAACACCAGUGGCGAAGGCGAGUCCCUGGACACUUCCUGACACUGAGGCACGAAAGCUAGGGGAGCAAACAGG
rnacentral:rRNA from 1 species